rnacentral:rRNA from 1 species
AUUGAACGCUGGCGGAAUGCUUUACACAUGCAAGUCGAACGGCAGCACGGACUUCGGUCUGGUGGCGAGUGGCGAACGGGUGAGUAAUGUAUCGGAACGUGCCCAGUCGUGGGGGAUAACGUAGUGAAAAUUACGCUAAUACCGCAUACGAUCUAUGGAUGAAAGCGGGGGAUCGCAAGACCUCGCGCGAUUGGAGCGGCCGAUAUCAGACUAGGUAGUUGGUGGGGUAAAGGCCCACCAAGCCAACGAUCUGUAGCUGGUCUGAGAGGAGGACCAGCCACACUGGAACUGAGACACCGUCCAGACUCCUACAGGAGGCAGCAGUGGGGAAUUUUGGACAAUGGGCGAAAGCCUGAUCCAGCCAUUCCGCGUGCAGGAUGAAGGCCCUCGGGUUGUAAACUGCUUUUGUACAGAACGAAAAGGUUUCUACUAAUACUAGGAGCUCAUGACGGUACUGUAAGAAUAAGCACCGGCUAACUACGUGCCAGCAGCCGCGGUAA